rnacentral:rRNA from 1 species
AUUGAACGCUGGCGGCCGGCCUAACACAUGCAAGUCGAACGAGUGGCGGACGGGUGAGUAAUGUCUGGGAAACUGCCAGAUGGAGGGGGAUAACUACUGGAAACGGUAGCUAAUACCGCAUACCAUCGGAUCUGCCCAGAGUGGAUUGGCUAGUCGGUGGGGUAACGUCGAACAUAGGCGACGAUCCCUAUCUGGUCUGAGAGGAUGACCAGCCACACUGGAACUGAGACACGGUCCAGACGCUGACGGGAGGCAGCAGUGGGGAAUAUUGCACAAUGGGCGCAAGCCUGAUGCAGCCAUGCCGCGUGUAUGAAGAAGGCCUUCGGGUUGUAAAGUACUUUCAGCGAGGAGGCGUUACUCGCAGAAGAAGCACCGGCUAACUCCGUGCCAGCAGCCGCGGUAAUAC